rnacentral:rRNA from 1 species
UACGUAGGGCGCAAGCGUUGUCCGGAAUUAUUGGGCGUAAAGAGCUCGUAGGUGGCUGGUCGCGUCUGCCGUGAAAGCCCGCAGCUUAACUGCGGGUCUGCGGUGGAUACGGGCCGGCUAGAGGUGAGGUAGGGGCAAGUGGAAUUCCUGGUGUAGCGGUGAAAUGCGCAGAUAUCAGGAGGAACACCGGUGGCGAAGGCGGCUUUCUGGACCGACACUGACGCUGAGGCGCGAAAGCUAGGGGAGCGAACGGG